UUUAUAAAGGUACCUAAUAAGAAAUUUCAGCCCCCUAUCAGGCCAGAUUUGAGUUCUUUUGGACAGUUCAAUUGAAAAUCCCUGUGGAUGUUUUUGAGUUACAUGAACAUCAAAAUAAUAUUCUUUUUCUGCUGUUUAAAGACUUUUUCUGUACUUGCAUAACUCAAACAGAUUUCUUUUUAAAACUUCAGACUUGGCAGAUGUAUAGUCCUGAAUGAUGAAUGCAUGCUUAAUCUUGUUUUAAGAAAUUUGCUUUGGAAACAUUUAAGUUGGGGGCAUUUGAAAAUAGUGUACUGAGUAUCUGCAGCAUGUUAUUUUUCCUGAUAUAGAGCAAGAAAUAUAACAUAGUUUGAAUGUCUGUAGAUAUAUAUAUUUGCAUUAACAUCUGGGGGAAGUUGAGGGUAUUAAUAAGGGCAAUGCUCACCAUUAAAAUAUUUACAGUUGCUCUUUGCAAGUAAUUAUCUUACCACUGUUACCAUUAAGUUAUGUAGUGCUACAGUUGCAUUUAAUUUUUUAUUUAGAGUGAGCACAGUUUAACAUCAUAUUCCUCUAAAAACUCACUUUUCCCCUCUAUACUUAAACCCCAAAAAUCUUAUAACAUUUUAAAAAAUGUUAUACAAAAACAGAUACAUAAGAGUCAAGUGUAAUGGAAUGUGUAAGGCAGCUUUAUAGCUUGAGGCAACCAAGUUCUAGAACCGAGGCAUUCUGGGACUUGUAGUGUAGAGGGACUAUGGAAGUUGUAGGCCUCAUAGCAAGGUAUCUGGUGUGUCUGAGUGAGAUAAUUGGCAGACCAGUUGUGGGGUGAGGUCUCUACUUGUAUGGAGAAGGUUUUGCAGUUGGAUCUCUCCAGACAAAGAGCCUGAGAGGAGUUUUUCAUGAAGCUCAGAAGAACAGCCAAAAUUCUUGGAAAAGCAUGCAUAGAAACGGUGUUUUCAGGUAGUAACCUAAGACUGAUGAGAGGAUUGGAGAAAGGAGACUCCAUUAAAGGGCUUUGGAAGAGGAACUGCUUGUGAGCUCUUGUGCUGAUGGGUGAAGGCUUGUUUGUUUAAAUGACUUCUUAUGAACCCCUGGGCCAAGGGGUGUGUUAGAGCCCCUGUCUUGAGGAGUGUAUAUGUGUGGACUUCCACUGGACUUUUCAUUACCCUAGAAGCAAAGGAGUUUUGGCUUUGUCUAGAGGGCUAAAAUACCUUGUCUGGAGGAGUGAAACUGAAGCAGUGGCCCCUCCUGAUGACAGAAGAGUAAGAGAUCUUCUUGCACCAAAGUUUAUAAAAUUAUUUAGUAAGAGGCUGAUUGUGGACCGUGCCUCGUAUGGAUCACCAUCUUCCUUUUCAUACAGUAUCACACUGAUGUCAUGGUGAGGCCACUGAUGGAGAAUAACACCAACAUCCUGGCACUGCAAAAAACACAUUGCAGAAGAAGUCUCAGUGUGCCUCUGAAUACCAUGAGUCCCUGGACCAGAACCCAGAGCAGAGAGUGGGCCUGGGUUCCUCUGUCAGCCCUGAGCAAGGAGCACAUAAGCUUGACAUAAGGACUUGAGCCCAGUGUGGGGCUGAAGAUUGAGUCUCAAGGACAAACCAAGGAAUAACCCAAGAGGGGACAGAAGAAGCUUUUGUGUCUGGACAUGUUGGACUUUUAGUUGUACUUUUGUCCUCCCAGAAGGGGAGAGGAUCUAAAGUGGCCAGGCCAAAGAACCAAGUUAUGAGAAGAGGCAGACCACCACAAGGCUGGAGCAACCCUAGGCAGGAAAGAAUAGCCAUGAAGGUGUGCUCUAGCGGUGAGUCCACUCUCCAUAAGGGGCUGGCCAACAUUUGGAGAACAUAGCAGUUUUCAGGAUAUCAGAAAAGGAAAGACAGGUGAUUUUCUAGUCCUGUGCAGGAGAUCCCGUAAUCUGUACCAGAGAGAUGUUUCUGCUAAUGGUUACCUGUCUAUAUAUUGUGAAUGGAGGGGUCUGGUCAGCUACAAAGGUGGACCAGAUUUUACUGCGGGUGAACCUGAAGAACCAGCUGGACUUUGUGCUGAAACAGAAAUUUGCUGAAAUAUGGUUACAUGAUUGAGAGGCAGUUUGAUUGGAAAUUGACUACAUUCUGAGCUAGGAUAGAGGGAUUUAAUGCAAAAGGAGAUCUAAACCCUGAACCACUCCCACCCACCCCGUCUUUACCUGAAAACUAUGGCCCUGAUCUUGCCUAACAAUGGUGAAAUGGACAGGGAAAAAAUGAGGCACACUGCAACUUCAUUAGGUUUCCUGACGAUUCAGCUCAGCACCACAGUCCCUCACCUCAGACACCUGGAAAGUGACACUGCACUGUUUUUAUCCAACAUCCAGACCAAAUCCUUCUCCCACCCCCACUUUCCCAGCUUGUGUAACAUGAUUCUACAGGCUGAGAGUGCAAACACCUGGGACAGAGGCUGUAAAGACUUGGUAAUCUUCCAUGGAAAAACGGCCUCUGUAACUACUUUUCCUCAAACAACCAACUAUAUGUUUUCUAUGACUGUGUUUUGUUCCCUUCUCCAACUGGGACCCUCCAUGAAGCCCCAGGAUCUGAAUCCCUGACAGCUGGCUGAGAAAUUGCACAGACACAAGGGCAGAGUGAUAUUUUUCUUUUGUAAAUUGUUUGAAAAAAUAGUUUUAGCCAAAUGCAUAAAAUUGUGGUUCAUCACAAAUCAAUAAAAUCAUUGAUUUAGAA